rnacentral:rRNA from 1 species
GACGAACGCUGGCGGCGUGCUUAACACAUGCAAGUCGAACGGAAAGGCCCUGCCUUGGUGGGGUGCUCGAGUGGCGAACGGGUGAGUAACAAGUGAGUAACCUGCCCUUGACUUUGGGAUAACUUCAGGAAACUGGGGCUAAUACCGGAUAGGAGCUCCUGCUGCAUGAUGUGGGUUGGAAAGUUUCGGUGGUUUGGGAUGGACUGGAGGCUGAUGCGCGUGUGGGUGAGGUAGUGGCGUAGCAAUGCUAUGGCGGGUAGCCGGCCUGGGAGGGUGACCGGCCCCAUUGGGCCUGAGCUGCGACCCAGACUAGUACGUGAGCGAGAGGUGGGGGAUAUAGCAAGAUGGGCGGAAGCCUGAACCAACAACGCCGCGUGGGGGAGGACGGCUGUCGGGUUGUAACGAGCUUUCGCCUGUGAAGAUGAGAGAGUGACGGUAACUGAUAAAGAAGCACCGGCUAACUACGUG